UAGGGAAUCUUCGGCAAUGGGGGGAACCCUGACCGAGCAACGCCGCGUGAGUGAAGAAGGUUUUCGGAUCGUAAAGCUCUUUUGUUAAGGAAGAACGAGUGUGAGAAUGGAAAGUUCAUACUGUGACGGUACUUAACCAGAAAGGGACGGCUAACUACGUGCCAGCAGCCGCGGUAAUACGUAGGUCCCGAGCGUUGUCCGGAUUUAUUGGGCGUAAAGCGAGCGCAGGCGGUUAGAUAAGUCUGAAGUUAAAGGCAGUGGCUCAACCAUUGUAGGCUUUGGAAACUGUGUAACUUGAGUGCAGAAGGGGAGAGUGGAAUUCCAUGUGUAGCGGUGAAAUGCGUAGAUAUAUGGAGGAACACCAGUGGCGAAGGCGACUCUCUGGUCUGUAACUGACGCUGAGGCUCGAAAGCGUGGGUAGCAAACAGG
rnacentral:rRNA from 1 species